rnacentral:rRNA from 1 species
GGUAGUAAUAAGUAAUAAAACCACUAAAACUUGGCGGUUAUAAUAAAUUAAAGAAACUCGUUUUAUAAUCGACAAACCCCGAUAAGUUUUACUUAAUUCAUAUAGUAAAUUUAUAUACCGCCGUUUUCAGAAAUUACAAAAACAAAAUAUCAAAAUCAAUUUUUUUACAAAAAUCAGGUCAAGGUGUAAUUAUUAAUUAAGAAAAAAUAAGUUACACUUAAAGAAAAUUUAAGGAAUAAAACUUAAAACUUUUAAGAAAAAGAAUUUAUAAUUAAUUAUGAAUUAAUAAUUCAAAAAGAAAACACACAAUAUAAUGC